rnacentral:rRNA from 11 species
UUGAUCAUGCCAGCCUGAAGAUACCAAAUCCCGUCUGAUCUUGGAAGGUGAAUAGGCUCAGCUCUGGUUAGUAGUUGGAUAUAAUACGUACAAUGAACUGUAGGCAAAAUCAGAAAUUGGAAAAA